rnacentral:rRNA from 1 species
AUGAACGCUGGCGGCAUGCCUAAGACAUGCAAGUCGAACGAGAAGGCCUAAUGAAAUAGAGUGCUUUGCACAAAGUUGGAUUUAGAUUCCCUUCUAGUGGACAAACGGGUGAGUAACACGUGGUUACCUACCUCUAAGACGGGGAUAACAGUUGGAAACGACUGCUAAUACCGGAUGUGGUCUACGGACUAAAGGAGCCCUUAAAGCUCCGCUUAGAGAUGGGCCUGCGGUGCAUUAGCUAGUUGGUGGGGUAAUGGCCUACCAAGGCGACGAUGCAUAGCCGAACUGAGAGGUUAAUCGGCCACACUGGGACUGAGACACGGCCCAGACUCCUACGGGAGACAGCAGUUAGGAAUAUUCGUCAAUGGGGGAAACCCUGAACGAGCAAUGCCGCGUGAGUGAUGACGGUCCUAUGGAUUGUAAACUCUGUUGUUUGGAAAGAACUGUAUAAAUAGGAAAUGAUUUAUACUUGACGGUACCAUUCAAGAAAGCCACGGCUAACUACGUG